GAUGAACGCUGGCGGCGUGCCUAAUACAUGCAAGUCGAGCGAACAGAUAAGGAGCUUGCUCCUUUGACGUUAGCGGCGGACGGGUGAGUAACACGUGGGUAACCUACCUAUAAGACUGGAAUAACUCCGGGAAACCGGGGCUAAUGCCGGAUAACAUUUAGAACCGCAUGGUUCUAAAGUGAAAGAUGGUUUUGCUAUCACUAAUAGAUGGACCCGCGCCGUAUUAGCUAGUUGGUAAGGUAACGGCUUACCAAGGCAACGAUACGUAGCCGACCUGAGAGGGUGAUCGGCCACACGGAAACUGAGACACGGUCCAGACUCCUACGGGGGGCAGCAGUAGGGAAUCUGCCGCAAUGGGCGAAAGCCUGACGGAGCAACGCCGCGUGAGUGAUGAAGGUCUUCGGAUCGUAAAACUCUGUUAUUAGGGAAGAACAAAUGUGUAAGUAACUGUGCACGUCUUGACGGUACCUAAUCAGAAAGCCACGGCUAACUACGU
rnacentral:rRNA from 1 species